GAUCAGUGGGUCUUAGUUUGAAAUAGAGUUGAAGCUGCGGACACAAAAACUAAUGUCAAAAAAGAUGAAGACAGUUGCUCCUACCACAAAAUGCAACUUCCAGAAAGAUAUGAUAGUGAUUGCCGUUCUCAUACUACUUCAAUCUCUAAAUCAACGCUAGUCGAACACACACACACACACACACACACCUAAAUAAUACAAGCAUAUGGUUUGUACCGAAGUAAAAGAAAAGCAUAUGAAAAUAACCUCUGAACAACCUACUCAGAUAGUUUAAUCAGCUUACUGUGAACAUAUUUGUGUCAGGGUCCCAGUGAGUGAAAAACUUAUUUGAGAUUUUAUCAAUUUCAAAGCUAGGGACCUGCGGAUAAAUUUGAAAAUGUUAGAUGGCAAUUUUGAUGCGAAGUACAGAUCUCAUGGCUUUUAGAUUUUGGCUAAUACGAAACAAGCCUACUCAGUUUUCUCAACUUUUAUAUGUUACAAUGACGCUUGCUUUACAUUCAAAGGUAAACAUUAACAACACUUUAUUUUAAUCUAUCUUAUUUUAUUUUAUCUUAUUUUAUUUUAUCAAAGAAGAAAUAGAAAUAAACACGAGCUCAACGCAUGCAGUCAUUUUCAUUGACCUUGAAAGCAAUAAUUUCAUAAGGUUCUGAAGCAAAAAGGAGAUAUUGGUAGCGCUUGUCCCAAGCCUGUACCCUCUACAUUCACAAACGAUGACAGAGCUCAAGGACAGUUUCUUCUGCAGUACCAAGCAAAGUACAACACACGUGCACUUCAGUCCUAAAAUCUAUAUCCACCUUAUCAACGUCCAACAGCAUCAUUAUUUCCACCACUAAGGAAACAGGUCUAAUAAUGCUUAUUUGUUUUCACAUAAAAACCAAAAUAUUUGCUUUAUUGAAAUACAACUAUCACUAUCCAUUCAAACCAGAGUUUUCAAGGAUAAAUAAUACUGAAACUUACCUG
rnacentral:lncRNA from 1 species